ensembl:lncRNA novel transcript
AGUGCAUUUACUGUGGCAUGCUGUUGGCCCCAUGCACUUCCCCCUUUCCCCCAUAGAUCUCGGCAGUGCCUUCUGCUUUGGUCCUGACAGGGUUCUGCAGGAUAUACACGAAGUAUGGCACCAACAUCUGCUUCUGGUGAAGGCUUCAUGAAGCUUCCACCCAUGACAGAAGGCGAAGAACUGUUGCCAGCAUCAUGCUACAAGCCUGAAGGGAAGGUCUACUGACAGAGAAGGACAGAGACCAGGGAAACACAGAAAAGGAGAGACAAAGCCUUGACAUACCAAACCAGUGCCUGGCCUACCUAUGGACUUCUCAGGACAAGGAUGGAGCUGGAGGCCAUUUUCCAUAGCAAACAACACAGGAACAGAAGACCAAAUACCGGAGGGUUCCAAGAUGACCAAAUAGGAACAGCUCCAGUCUACAGCUCCCAGUGUGAGCGACGCAGAAGACGGGUGAUUUCUGCAUUUCCAACUGAGCUUUGAAGAGAGUAGUGGUUCUCCCAGCACAGAGUUUGAGAUCUGAGAACGGACAGACUGCCUCCUCAAGUGGGUCCCUGACCCCUGAGUAGCCUAACUGGGAAGCACCCCCCAGUAGGGGCAGACUGACACCUCACACGGCCGGGUACCCCUCUGAGAUGAAGCUUCCAGAGGAAUGAUCACGCAGCAACAUUUGCUGUUCAGCAAUAUUCGCUGUUCUGCAGCCUAUGCUGCUGAUACCCAAGCAAACAAGGUCUGGAAUGGACCUCCAGCAAACUCCAACAGACCUGCAGCUGAGGGUCUUGACUGUUAGAAGGAAAACUAACAAACAGAAAGGAUAUCCACACCAAAACCCCAUCUAUACAUCACCAUCAUCAAAGACCAAAGGUAGAUAAAACCACAAAGAUGGGGAAAAAACAGAGCAGAAAAGCUGAAAAUUCUAAAAAUCAGAGCACCUCACCCCCUCCAAAGGAAUGCAGCUCCUUGCCAGCAAUGGAACAAAGCUGGAUGGAGAGUGACUUUGACGAGUUGAGAGAAGAAGGCUUCAGAGGAUCAAACUUCUCCGAGCUAAAGGAGGAAGUUCGAACCCAAUGAAAAUAAGCUAAAAACCUUGAAAAAAGAUUAGACGAAUGGCUAACUAGAAUGACCAGCAUAGAGAAGUCCUUAAAUGACUUGAUGGAGCUGAAAACCAUGGCAGGAGAACUACACGACGAAUGCACAAGCUUCAGUAGCUGAUUCGAUCAACUGGAAGAAAGGGUAUCAGUGAUUGAAGGUCAAAUUAAUGAAAUGAAACAAGAAGAGAAGUUUAGAGAAAAAAGAGUAAAAAGAAAUGAACAAAGCUUCCAAGAAAUAUGAGACUGUAUGAAAAGACCGAAUCUACGUCUGAUUGGUGUACCUGAAAGUGAGGGGGAGAAUGGAACCAAGUUGGAAAACACUCUGCAGGAUAUUAUCCAGGAGAACUUCCCCAAACUAGCAAGGCAGGCCAACAUUCAAAUUCAGGAAAUACAGGGAAUGCCACAAAGAUACUCCUCGAGAAGAGCAACUCCAAGACACUUAAUUGUCAGAUUCACCAAAGUUGAAAUGAAGGAAAAAAUGUUAAGGGCAGCCAGAGAGAAAGGUCGGGUUACCCACAAAGGGAAACCCAUCAGACUAACAGCUGAUAUCUCUGCAGAAACUCUACAAGCCACAAGAGAGUGGGGGCCAAUAUUCAACAUUCUUCAAGAAAAGAAUUUUCAACCCAGAAUCUCAUAUCCAGUCAAACUAAGCUUCAUAAGUGUAGGAGAAAUAAAAUACUUUACAGACAAGCAAAUGCUGAGAGAUUUUGUCACCACCAGGCCUGCCCUAAAAGAGCUCCUGAAGGAAGCACUAAACAUGGAAAGGAACAACCAGUACCAGUCACUGCAAAAACAUGACAAAUUAUAAAGACCAUCGAGGCUAGGAAGAAACUGCAUCAACUAAUGGGCAAAAUAACCAGCUAACAUCAUAAUGACAGGAUCAAAUUCACACAUAACAAUAUUAAACUUAAAUGUAAAUGGGCUAAAUGCUCCAAUUAAAAGACACAGACUGUCAAAUUGGAUAGAGUCAAGACCCAUCAGUGUGCUGUAUUCAGGAGACCUAUCUUACAUGCAGAGACACACAUAAGCUCAAAAUAAAGGGAUGGAGGAAGAUCUACCAAGCAAAUAGAAAACAAAAAAAGGCAGGAGUUGCAAUCCUAGUCUCUGAUAAAACGACUGUAAACCAACAAAGAUCAAAAGAGACAAAGAAGGCCAUUACAUAAUGGUAAAGGGAUCAAUUCAACAAGAACAGCUAACUAUCCUAAAUAUAUAUGCACCCAAUACAGGAGCACCUAGAUUCAUAAAGCAAGUCUUUAGAGAUCUACAAAGAGACUUAGACUCCCACACAAUAAUAAUGGGAUAUUUUAACACCCCCCGUCAACAUUAGACAGAUCAAUGAGACAGAAAGUUAACAAGGAUAUCCAGGAAUUGAACUCAGCUCUGCACCAAGCGGACUUAAUAGACAGCUACAGAACUCUCCACCCCAAAUCAACAGAAUAUACAUUCUUCUCAGCACCACAUCACACUUAUUACAAAAUUCACCACAUGGUUGGAAGUAAAGCACUCCUCAGCAAAUGUAAAAGAUGAGAAAUUAUAACAAAGUGUCUCUCAGACCACAGUGCAAUCAAACUAGAACUCAGGAUUAAGAAACUCACUCAAAACCGCACAACUACAUGGAAACUGAACAACCUGCUCCUGAAUGACUACUGGGUACAUAAUGAAAUGAAGGCAGAAAUAAAGAGGUUCUUUGAAACCAAUGAGAACAAAGACACAACAUACCAGAAUCUCUGGGACACAUUCAAAGCAGUGUGUAGAGUGAAAUUUAUAGAACUAAAUGCCCACAAGAGAAAGCAGGAAAGAUCUAAAAUUGAUACCAUAACAUCACAAUUAAAAGAACUAGAGAAGCAAGAGCAAACACAUUCAAAAGCUAGCAGAAGGCAAGAAAUAACUAAGAUCAGAGCAGAACUGAAGGAGUUAGAGACACAAAGAACCCUUCAAAAAAAUCAA